rnacentral:rRNA from 1 species
UACGGGGGGAGCAAGCGUUGUUCGGAUUUACUGGGCGUAAAGGGCGCGUAGGCGGCCACCGCAAGUCGGUUGUGAAAUCUCUGGGCUUAACCCAGAAAGGUCAACCGAUACUGCGGGGCUAGAGUGCAGAAGGGGCAACUGGAAUUCUCGGUGUAGCGGUGAAAUGCGUAGAUAUCGAGAGGAACACCUGCGGCGAAGGCGGGUCGCUGGGCUGACACUGACGCUGAAGCGCGAAAGCUAGGGGAGCGAACGGG